CUAACACAUGCAAGUCGAACGGGUAACAGGAAACAGCUUGCUGUUUCGCUGACGAGUGGCGGACGGGUGAGUAAUGUCUGGGAAACUGCCUGAUGGAGGGGGAUAACUACUGGAAACGGUAGCUAAUACCGCAUAACGUCGCAAGACCAAAGAGGGGGACCCUCGGGCCUCUUGCCAUCGGAUGUGCCCAGAUGGGAUUAGCUUGUUGGUGGGGUAACGGCUCACCAAGGCGACGAUCCCUAGCUGGUCUGAGAGGAUGACCAGCCACACUGGAACUGAGACACGGUCCAGACUCCUACGGGAGGCAGCAGUGGGGAAUAUUGCACAAUGGGCGCAAGCCUGAUGCAGCCAUGCCGCGUGUAUGAAGAAGGCCUUCGGGUUGUAAAGUACUUUCAGCGGGGAGGAAGGGAGUAAAGUUAAUACCUUUGCUCAUUGACGUUACCCGCAGAAGAAGCACCGGCUAACUCCGUGCCAGCAGCCGCGGUAAUACGGAGGGUGCAAGCGUUAAUCGGAAUUACUGGGCGUAAAGCGCACGCAGGCGGUUUGUUAAGUCAGAUGUGAAAUCCCCGGGCUCAACCUGGGAACUGCAUCUGAUACUGGCAAGCUUGAGUCUCGUAGAGGGGGGUAGAAUUCCAGGUGUAGCGGUGAAAUGCGUAGAG
rnacentral:rRNA from 1 species